UCUAGAGCUCCCCUUCUAUCAACUUUCCUCUUCUUCCCAUAUCAUUUUGUGUUCUGAAGGCAGAUGUCCAUCAUCCUGAUACAGAUAGCCACACUGUCAAGCCAUGAAACCAAGUCCCCAUCGCGGCCUCCAGUGGGAAAUAAUGCACUGGCUGUGUACAAACUAGAAUCAGAACUGAAUGUGGCCAAGAACCAGAAACAAAACAAAAACACGGACAGGAAACUGAAAAGAGAAACAGAGAGUCAGCAAGAGUCUACUGCUGCUUGAGAUUCACUCAGAGAGCCAAGAAAAGAUGUGCCUGGGUUUAAACAACGCAAGAACUUACACUUCUUGGCCAACAUGGAUUAAUUGGCCUUGGCAGACACUUAAUGAAUCGAAAGAGAAUUGGAAACAAUUUUGCAAAGAAAGGAGAAAAUAGCUUUAAGAUAUAUGAGAAGAGGGAC